UGGGGAAUAUUGGACAAUGGGCGCAAGCCUGAUCCAGCCAUGCCGCGUGGGUGAAGAAGGCCUUCGGGUUGUAAAGCCCUUUUGUUGGGAAAGAAAUCCUGUCGGCUAAUACCCGGCGGGGAUGACGGUACCCAAAGAAUAAGCACCGGCUAACUUCGUGCCAGCAGCCGCGGUAAUACGAAGGGUGCAAGCGUUACUCGGAAUUACCGGGCGUAAAGCGUGCGUAGGCGGUUCGUUAAGUCUGUCGUGAAAGCCCUGGGCUCAACCUGGGAAUUGCGAUGGAUACUGGCGAGCUAGAGUACGGUAGAGGAUGGUGGAAUUCCCGGUGUAGCGGUGAAAUGCGUAGAGAUCGGGAGGAACACCCGUGGCGAAGGCGGCCAUCUGGACCAGCACUGACACUGAGGCACGAAAGCGUGGGGAGCAAACA
rnacentral:rRNA from 1 species